UACAGAGGGUGCAAGCGUUGUUCGGAAUUAUUGGGCGUAAAGGGCGCGUAGGCGGUGCGGUAAGUCUGCAGUGAAAUCUCUGGGCUCAACUCAGAGUCUGCUGUAGAAACUGCCGUGCUUGAGUGUGGGAGAGGGUGAGUGGAAUUCCCGGGUGUAGCGGUGAAAUGCGUAGAUAUCGGGAGGAACACCUGUGGCGAAAGCGGCUCACUGGACCACAACUGACGCUGAGGCGCGAAAGCUAGGGAGCAAACAGG
rnacentral:rRNA from 1 species